ACAAUAGUGCGUAUGACGCUAAUAAAUGCAUAACAUAUGUAGUGUACAAAUACAAAAUAUAAUAUCCAUUAGUAUAUAUUCACUUGGUGAUACACAACCUAAACAUGUGUCUCAUUCAACUCAUUUGUCAUCUGUGCAUUAAUUGACUCUGGUGAAGUGAAUGCAAGUAUAUACAAUCAAUCUUAUUGUUGUAAACAGACUAGGAGGUAAACAAAAAAACAAGCUGUUUUUAUGCUUUUUGUUACGGACAAAUUGAAGAAUACGGAAUAAAACUAGUUGAACACCGUCAUAAAUGCAUCUUGUCCAUUAAAACUGUCAAUGUAAUAAAUGUAUAUUGUGUUUCAAACAAGAAAAACAAAUGAAAAAAAAAAUCUCCAUCAACACGCUAAAUAUUAUCACAUUUUUGCAAAUAUAUUAUACAUAGGUCAUAGGUAUAAUAUAAUAUAUAUUUGUGUAUAUCAUUA